rnacentral:rRNA from 1 species
GAUGAACGCUGGCGGCGUGCCUAAUACAUGCAAGUCGAGCGAACAGACGAGGAGCUUGCUCCUCUGACGUUAGCGGCGGACGGGUGAGUAACACGUGGAUAACCUACCUAUAAGACUGGGAUAACUUCGGGAAACCGGAGCUAAUACCGGAUAAUAUAUUGAACCGCAUGGUUCAAUAGUGAAAGACGGUUUUGUUGGCGGUUAUAGAUGGAUGCGCGCCGCAUUAGCUAGUUGGUAAGGUAACGGCUUACCAAGGCAAAGAUGCGUAGCCGGCCUGAGAGGGGGAACGGCCACAAUGGGACUGAGGGACGGCCCAGACUCGUACGGGCGGCAGCAGUGGGGAAUAUUGCACAAUGGGCCGGAGCCUGAUGCAGCAACGUCGCGAGCGUGAUGACGGCCUUCGGGUUGUAAACCGCUGUCGCCUGUGACGAAGCGGGAGUGACGGUAAUGGGUAAGGAAGCACCGACUAACUACGUG